rnacentral:rRNA from 1 species
UUUCCAGACUCCUACGGGAGGCAGCAGUGGGGGAUAUUGGACAAUGGGGGAAACCCUGAUCCAGCGACGCCGCGUGAGUGAAGAAGUAUUUCGGUAUGUAAAGCUCUGUCAGCAGGGAAGAAAGAAAUGACGGUACCUGAAGAAGAAGCCCCGGCUAACUACGUGCCAGCAGCCGCGGUAAUACGUAGGGGGCGAGCGUUAUCCGGAUUCACUGGGUGUAAAGGGAGCGUAGACGGCCAUGCAAGCCAGGGGUGAAAGCCCGGGGCCCAACCCCGGGACUGCCCUUGGAACUGUGCGGCUAGAGUGCGGGAGGGGCAGGCGGAAUUCCUGGUGUAGCGGUGAAAUGCGUAGAUAUCAGGAGGAACACCGGCGGCGAAGGCGGCCUGCUGGACCGCGACUGACGUUGAGGCUCGAAAGCGUGGGGAGCGAACAGGAUUAGAUACCCCGGUA